UACGUAGGGUGCAAGCGUUGUCCGGAAUUAUUGGGCGUAAAGGGCUCGUAGGCGGUUUGUCGCGUCUGCCGUGAAAGUCCGGGGCUCAACUCCGGAUCUGCGGUGGGUACGGGCAGACUAGAGUGAUGUAGGGGAGACUGGAAUUCCUGGUGUAGCGGUGAAAUGCGCAGAUAUCAGGAGGAACACCGAUGGCGAAGGCAGGUCUCUGGGCAUUAACUGACGCUGAGGCGCGAAAGCUAGGGGAGCAAACGGG
rnacentral:rRNA from 1 species